rnacentral:rRNA from 1 species
CCUGCCAGAAAUGAUAUGCUUGGUUGAACGAUUAAGCCAUGCACAUGUAAGAGUGUCUCUUCGGGGACGGUCAGUAAAUGGCUCAUUAUACAGAGGCUUAGCAAAGGGGGGGAUGGAUGCUGAAAGGUGUCUGAAGAAGGAUAACCAUUCAAAAUGGAUGGAUAAUACUUGGAGAGCGGGGUGCUGGGUGACUGGUAGCCUGGGAAAGAGUGUUGUCGACGAGAGUUGGCUGGUGAAUCAAGUCUUUUGGAGAAAGCCCGCGGAAAGAUGUGGGCAGUCCCUCGUGCAGCCUUUAUCUAUCAGCUUUAGACGGUAGUGUAGAGGACUACGGUGGCGGUAACGGAUACGGAGAAUUAGGGUUCGAUUCCGGAGAGUGAGCCUGAGAAACGGCUGACACUUCUAAGGAAGGCAGCAGGCGCGUAAUUUCCCCAAUGAUGUCGUGUCGAGGGAGGGAAUAACAAUAUGAAAGAGGGGGGCACAUGUCUUCUUCUAUUCAAAUGAGGGAAUGGUAAAUAAAUUCCUGAGGAACAAGUGGAGGGAAAGUCUGGUGCCAGCAGCCGCGGUAAUUCCAGCUCC